GAUGAACGCUAGCGGCAGGCUUAACACAUGCAAGUCGAGGGGUAGAAGUUGCUUGCAACUUUGAGACCGGCGCACGGGUGCGUAACGCGUAUGCAAUCUACCUUAUACAGAGGGAUAGCCCAGAGAAAUUUGGAUUAAUACCUCAUAGUAUAAUUGAAUGGCAUCAUUUAAUUAUUAAAGUUCAAACGGUAUAAGAUGAGCAUGCGUCCUAUUAGCUAGAUGGUAAGGUAACGGCGUACCAUGGCAACGAUAUGUAGGGGUCCUGAGAGGGAGAUCCCCCACACUGGUACUGGGACACGGACCAGACUCCGACGGGAGGCAGCAGUGAGGAAUAUUGGACAAGGGGCGCAAGCCUGAUCCAGCCAUGCCGCGUGCAGGAAGAAGCAUCUAUGGUGUGUAAACUGCUUUUGUACGGGAAGAAACACUCCCUCGUGAGGGAGCUUGACGGUACCGUAAGAAUAAGGAUCGGCUAACUCCGUGCCAGCCGCCGCCGUAACAC
rnacentral:rRNA from 1 species